UUUUGUACAGACCAAACUCUAAGCUAUGUCUUUAACUCUAUCCCUGGUUCUAUUCAAGUCCAGCUGUAAUGCUGUAAUGUAAUCCUUAGCAUGAGAACUCUCUUGAUUUCCUUGAGCAUUGAGUAUGGGACAUUGAACUAUUCAAUGGAAAAUCUGUUCACUUUGCCAUGUGACAUAUUGCUGUCAAAAUCGAGAGCAAAAUUGGGCUAAUAUAUGAUCUUGCCUGGACGUGGACUAAGCUUGGUAGGCUGAGUCAAGAUGGUGGCUUUGAAGAAGCAAAAGUUCAGACAUCUGAAAAUCCUUCCUUACCGAUCACAACUGAAUGCUCCUAGGGGACUGAAAAUCAAACCUAACAACAAGACAGAGCCAAGGAACCCUCCUGCUGGACUCAAACCAAAAGGUAAGCCCCCCCCAAAAAGCAGAAUUCAAGAACACUCGGGUUUAAGGGGAAGGCAGAAGGAAGGUCCCAGGACCCCUUCCUCCCAUCUAGAGCGCUAAGCCUCCAGCAGCAACAGGAAACUGUGGGCACUUGUGUGGAGGAUGUACCAUGUGGGCAGGGCUGUCAGGCUCAGAGUGUCAAACGCAGGAGGUGGGGAAGGAGCUGGAGAGGGAGUGGAGAGUGGGUAGCCUGGUUACAGAGGCAGAGACCCUCCAUAGUGCUCCAGGCUUCAGAGAGGUUUCGACCUCAGAGCACAUCCAGCCAAACCUAGCUGAACUUAAUCACAUCAACAGUCUUCAGAGGUCAGGGAAGCUCAAGCUCUAACACCCCUCCCCCACAGACUGCUGGACUUUAAUCCAAUCAAAAGCCUCCAGAGGACAGGGAAAUUCAAACUCCAUCAUCCCUCUCCAUCAGACUUCAUGGAGAGAUCUUCUGUCAAAGCUCCAAGAUGGGAGUCUGACAGAAAAACCCAAAACCUAAAAAAUGAGAGGAGCAAGAGCACAGGCAAAAAUGGUGAGUAAAGAAGGUUAAAUAUGAGAAAAAAAAAGAACAAGAAGAAAGAAAUUACAAUGGACAGCUUCUUUACAGGCAUUGAACAAAGAGAAAAUGGAACAGAGAAGGGGAAGGGAACAUCAAGCAAUAAAACAGAAAUCCCAGUGAAUUGGAUACAGGCUUUGAAAGAACUCAAAAUGCAAUUCAAAACACAAUUAAGAGAGGCUCAAGACAAUUGGGAAAAGAACCUAAAAACUAAGAUAAGUCAUCUGGAAACAGAAAAUAGUGUCUUGAAAGCCAAAAUCAACCAGCUUGAAAAUGAGGCAAAGGAGAUGAAAGAUGAGACAAAGAAGACAAAACAUGAGGCAAAGGAGAUGAGAGAUAAGGUAAAGAGAAUGACAGAUGACCUCCAAACAAAAUCAGACCAGAAGGAGAAGGAUGACCAAAAAGUCAGGGAUGAAAUCCAGUCUUUAAGAACCAGAAUACAACAACUAGCAUUAAGUGGCCUCAAAAGGCAGCAGGACACUAUAAAACAAAAUCAAAAGAAUGAAAAAGUUGAGGAAAAUAUGAAGCAUUUCAUUCAUGAAACAAAAGAUUUAGAAAAUCAUUCCAGGAGAGACAACUUAAAAAUCAUUUGUCUACCAGAAGAUUAUAACAAAAGAAAAAGCCUGGGCAUAAUACUACAGGAAAUUAUACAAGAAAUCUGCCCCAACAUUCUAGAACAAGAGGGAAAAGUGGAGAUUGAAAGAAUCCACAGAUCACUUCCUGUACUUAAUCCCCAACUGACAACACCCAGGAAUGUUAUAGCCAAAUUCAAGAACUAUCAGACCAAAGAAAAAAUAUUACAAGCUGCCAAGAAGAAGUCAUUCAGAUACAAUGGAACCACAGUGAGGAUGACACAGUAUUUGAUAGCAUCUAUCCUGAAGGACAGAAAGGCAUGAAAUACAAUAUUCCGGAAAGCAAGGGAACUAGGUCUACAACCAAGAAUCAACUACCCAGUAAAAUUGACUAUAAUCUUACAGGGGAAAGUAUGGUCAUUCAACAAAAGAGAAGAAUUCCAAGAAUUUGUAAAGAAAAGACCAGACCUGAACAGAAAAUUUGAUGUCCAAGCAUAGAACUUAAGAGAAUCAUCAAAAGGAAAUUAAAAAGAGGGAAAAAACAAACAAACAAACAAACAAAA